CAAAGGCUUCGGCCGGUAAAGGAUGGGGAUGCGUCUGAUUAGCUUGCCGGCGGGGUAACGGCCCACCGGGGCGACGAUCAGUAGGGGUUCUGAGAGGAAGGUCCCCCACAUUGGAACUGAGACACGGUCCAAACUCCUACGGGAGGCAGCAGUGAGGAAUAUUGGUCAAUGGGCGCGAGCCUGAACCAGCCAAGUAGCGUGCAGGACGACGGCCCUAUGGGUUGUAAACUGCUUUUAUACGGGGAUAAAGUAUGCCACGUGUGGUUUAUUGCAGGUACCGUAUGAAUAAGGACCGGCUAAUUCCGUGCCAGCAGCCGCGGUAAUACGGAAGGUCCGGGCGUUAUCCGGAUUUAUUGGGUUUAAAGGGAGCGCAGGCCGGGUUUUAAGCGUGCCGUGAAAUGUCGGGGCUCAACCUUGACACUGCGGCGCGAACUGGAGUCCUUGAGUGCGCGGAACGUAUGCGGAAUUCGUGGUGUAGCGGUGAAAUGCUUAGAUAUCACGAAGAACCCCGAUUGCGAAGGCAGCAUACGGCAGCGCUACUGACGCUGAAGCUCGAAGGCGCGGGUAUCGAACAGGAUUAGAUACCCUGGUAGUCCGCGCGGUAAACGAUGGAUGCCCGCUGUUGGCGAUAUAUUGUCA
rnacentral:rRNA from 1 species